rnacentral:lncRNA from 1 species
UUUUAAUGAAUUUUAAUAUAGUUAAUUAAUCUGGACUGUUGGAUUUGAAAAAUAUUCAAAUCCAAGAGACAGGGAGUUGCCACGUGGCCAACAGUCAUAUUUCUAACCGUUGGGCCUUUUUUUUUUUUUUUUUUUUGUGAAAAAAACGUGGACCGUUGAUCUUUGAUUCGACGGUCUAUUUUAAAAGUAAAAUUUAAAUUUUUUUUACCGUUGGAAAUCCAACGGUCUAGAAAACUAGCCGUUGGAAAUCCAACGGCAAAAAGGGAGCCACGUCACCAACUCGGGGGGGGGGGAACUGAGUGCGCUUGCACGCGGGCCCGCGCUCUGAAAUCCUGUCGGGCACUCGCGCCAACGCCUCCAUGAAGCGCACGCGCCAGGCAAACUGCCCAGCUUCUUGCUCAGUCUCUUUUGGGCUGGUCCAGAGCCCAGCUCGGGCUGGGUACCAGUCAAGUUGAGGGGGUGGACUUGGUUGACAGGAUGCUGGCCUUGUUUUUGUGCUGGGUCCUGGGCAAAGUCCACCGGGGUGGAAUUGCUCUUAUGGAACUCUUGAACUGGCCUAAAGCUCAAUUAAGUACUGCCUUACCGUUGGUGUUGUCUCGGACUAAGAAGCUAGACUGUAAUUUUAAGAAACCGUCCCAAAUAUUAAAAAAAAAAACUAAUAAUUUUAAAAACUUAAUCAUUACAUUUUUCAAUUGAGUGUCAGUUUUAAUCUCAGAUUGGGGUCUCAACUUCAAUUUUCAACUCAAAUAUUUCAACGAGUACAUGAAAACUCAUGGAUAAAAAUAAGGAAAACUAAUGAAAAUGACUUGAAAACUUUGAGUUUUAAUGAUAAAGACAAAAUAAAGGGUAAAGUGAAUAGUAACAUGAUUGACUUUUUAGUGUAAAAAUGUGGUUUUUCGUUAAAGUGAACAGUACCGGAUGCUUUUCGUUAAAAUUCCAAUAAAAAUAUGAUACAUGAUUACUAGAAGCUGUGUAAUAAAUUAAUAAUCAAAAAAUAAAAAUAAAAAUAAUAUGCUUGUACAAAAACUGCCCGGCGGGUAAACUCCUCCGAUUCAAAAUUGCUUCAACUCCGAAGGCACGCCCUUGCAUUUUCCCGCAUUAGGAGAUGUACUACUCCGUUGGCGCCCAACUCCAUCAACAGCCUGCAGCAGAACCCUGGUUUGCCUGAAACAAGCCACACGUUACGAAAAGACAUAACAAAGAGAAAACAUAAGGAUACCAAGAUUAAGAGGAGAAACAGAACGGCGCAGCAUAUACAAGCAUCCUACCGAGCAAUAAACUAGUCAUCCUCCAUAGGCACCUCUGGAAUGUCAAACCAAUCCUCUUCGAAAGGUUUAUUGAUCACACCAACUGGAGAAGGUAUGCGAAGUCAAGGGGAACACAGAAUACUUUCCCUGUUUCAAUAUAUGCUUGGAACUCAAUGCUAAUUGCUAAAUAUUGCAAGAUCGCAUGCCAUUAGCAGCUUACAGUUCACGUUUUCAGAUGCAAUACAGAAAGGAAAAAAAAUUAACUAUUGCAAAACAAAUAGUACAGAUAAAAAAGGAUAUCAAUUGACAUGAGAUCAUCCUCUUUCUCACCACGAUUGCGGCUAUUUUCUAGUUCCCUUCUUAUUUCAGGGGUUACCUACAAUUGAAUCGCCAAAUACAGAUUACAUAUUGCCAUGGAGUUAUAGCCACAAAGUUAUAGAAAUGAAAUGCCUCAAGAGAAAAUGCUCCUACCAAAUAGUGUUUUUGCGUUUCAAGAAGAUUUCUGAGAUUAUCUUUAUCCUCCUUUUGCAAUUCAUUUUUGUACCUGCAAGGGAUUACACCAGCUGUAUAUGAGGAAAAAGACGAUCCAAUUACGCUAACUAUCAUCAAUAUGCAGUCUAAUCAUCAUUCAGGCACAGAAGAGAUUAUUAAAACUUUGCCCACCUUUGCACAAAUGUAAGAAGUGACUGGUGCCAUAUCACAGGCAUUACUCUUGUUUCCUCCAUAAAUCUCAUAAAAUGUGCAACAAGAGCGUCGAGUACGCGAUAUGGCAAGGCAUACUUUUUAUCCAAAAGAAGCUUUAUAAAAUAACUGCAACAAUUCAUAAAAACAGCAUUGUCAAAACAAUGUCGCAUGCAAGGACCUUCUCCUUUAUAUUAACAAGAAGAGUGCUUCCAAACUGACCAACCAUCAACUAUCUAAAUUCAUUAUAGUGGAUAAAUGUCACGAAAGGAAACUGAUAGAAAUUGUGCUUCAUACAGGGAGGUUUAUUGAAUCAGAUCUUCUACAUUUUUCUACUGCUCGGAACGUUAGGCCUCCCCACCAUACAUUUCACCAUAUAAAAAUCGUUUUGGCUUGAACGUCUUUCAAGUUAACAAAUAUCUUAAACCUUUUUUUCAAACUUUUACAGGCACAAAUGCACCUAUCUUGCAACCACAUACUCUAAGAGAAGAUAUGUCUUUAUUUCUUUCAAACCAUUUUGGAAAUACUAACUGUUACAUGGUUCAAUACCUCGUUGUGCCACAGUAUUUCAUUUCUGCAAGCUUCAUUAAUGCAACACUGAAAAUACAGCAAAAGCAUGUAUCAGAUAUCUCCCAGGUAGAUUAUAAGGACCGUGAAUAAACAGUAUAACUUCCAACAUCAGAAACAGAAAAUGAAAGAAUAACUUGCUAAAGACAAGACAAGCAAAACGGAAAAGUUAACCAUAGAUUGCUAACUUAAGAAAUGAGAUAUAAUCAAGAGAUUUGUGCAUAACAUUUUUAAGUGGUUCUUAAAAUUAUUUUAAAAAAAUUGAUGCAAUUGACUGCUCACAGCCUUUCUAAAUGUAGGAAUACAUUGCAAGCCAACUGGUAUAAACUAAACGUAGUAGUUAUGUUAAAAGUAUAUUCUAGAUAAAAAUAAUCCAAAUAACAGAUAUAAUCAACUUCUAUUUCUUUUUAAAUCCUUAUCAGAAUGGCUUCUAAGCCGUCACCCAACAAACUCUUCAUCUUCAAGGGUCUAUUUGGAAGCCUUCCGUUCUGACAAUGGCAAAUUGGUUCAUAACUUAUGGAAUCAAUACCAAAUCUUGAUAAGGCAGCUUACAUACCUAGAAUGAAGUGGAGGAAUGGAGACCUUCUGUAUAAUGCUCCCAAAAAUAACAGCUUCCCUUAGAUUACAUGUCCCUGACUGUUCAAGAAGAAAGAGAAAUGGAGCCAUGGGGGAAGUGCAUUAGAAUUAGGAAAACAUCCAUUCCAAAACCGUAAAAACAUUUUAGAUCCAUGCAUCCCAUUAAUAUAAUGAAAUUGAGGUGAAUAUCAGAUCUCAAAAACUUAGUUUGGAUACAUCCGAAUGAACUAGCAAAAAGGUUAGCAUCAUAAACCCGUAACUUCAGUAUGACAGAGAGAAUGAAAUCAAUGAAUGAGCUUCUGAAACAAACAAACAAACAAUGCUUAAACUUCAAAAUACUGCAUUAGAUGGAGAAGGAUGGCAUGUUUACCUCACACAAGGGAAACAGUAUUCCUAUAAAAAAGGCCGCAGGCUUGUACAAAGACUUCUUCAAAGAUUGAUAUAGUGCAAAAUGCAAGCGCUUGGGUUUGCGGAUGUCUUCCCUCACCCUUGGGAGCAACACAAGCUUGUAGAAACGUUCUACCUUCUCCUUACUCAAAUUGGAAGCAAAAAUCCUCGUAGCUUGAUACAUUGCAUUUGGUGACCAAUUCUCAGGCUCAGUCAAAUAUAGGACAUCCUCCCAUCGUGGCACUGAAGGGAUGUGUUUGAAUGCCUUGGGAAUCUUUCCAGCAGUGUACUUAUUAAGAAACUUGCCAACCCUGCACAAACAUCGAAAAAGUAAGACGUCGUCCUCAUGGCCUAGCAUUACUCGAAUAACAGAUAUGCUAGGAUAGCUUGAUUACCCCUUAUACAAAUCUAUGACAGAGGUAUCCAAUUUAGGCAGAGGCCUCGCAUCUGCAACCGAACAAAUCAAAUCAACAAAUGAAAAUAUACUAAAGAAACGACCUUCAGCUUUAGCUAAUGAAAGAAGGAACAACAAAAUCAUAUUCCAUAUCUACCUGAGCCGACAUUUGAAUCGUUCUCUUUAAUUCUUGCGACAAUGAGGUCUGCCAGAGUACGCUGCGGACCGGCAUCCUUUGACAAGAAUUGCUCCAAUAUUUUCUCAUCAUGUUCAUCAAUCUCAUGUAAUGGCUUCUCGCCAUUUUCAUCACUUUCCUGAAACUCAUAUUAAACAUUUUUCAUUCACAAAUCAAAUUAAUUUCAUCCAAUUGAAACCUAACAAUUAAUAAAAUUAAUUAAACAACACAAUUCAGCAUUCAUUUUACAUUUCCUUUGUUUCCUCACAGAUUCUCACCAUUCAAACAAACUCAAAAAUCCAAUAAACAAACAAUUAGCGAUCAAAACUCACAUCAUAACCGUCAAAUCGGCUCUGCGUUUCAGAGAAUCCACCGAAAUCAUCGAUAUCCUCCUCUUCGCCGUCGGCCACCUCCUUCCGCGGCUCUUCCGAUACAUCCAGAAGCGAAUUGUUAGGGUUUUGAGCGCGGUUCUCCUCGUCCUCUAUCUCCCGCUGCUGAGCCAGAGCCUGUUUGAGGAUCUUAGAGCUCAUUCCGGAAGAUAUGAGCUUCUCCUCCUGCUGGUGCUGCUUCGACUUGGUCCGCUUCUUGGAGGCGACGGAGCCAUUUUCUUCGGCGAGGAACGGCUCCGGAUUCUGGUGCCUCUCUCUCUGCCUCUUCUUGCCCAUUGAUGCUGGUGCAGCUGCAGGCGAAGCCUUUUCUGCUAUUGAAACUGGAAAGUUAAAACCCCCGCCACCUGGAUUUCUUCAGUCUAAAACCCUAACCAUAGACAAAUUGCGGACCAAAAAUUAAAAGAAAAAUCUAGUGGGCCGGAAGGGCCCAACAGGAAGGCAAGAGAAAUACGAAUGGCCCACCUAAUAUUCUAACAAGGUGACAAAGGCCCAAGAAGAGCCCAAACUGAACCAAAAUCUAAAGAUUUUGUUCUAAUUUCUAUCUUAUUUUUCUUUUUUUAUGGAGAGUAUUCUUUUCUUUUGUUGGAUUAUAAAAUGAUAUUUUAAAUUAUUUUAAUUUACGGGAUUUAAGGUUUAAAUUUAUAUAUUUUGGUCUAUAUUGAAAGCUUAAAGUUAAAUGGAAAGGGAGCUGACCAACCUGAUGUAAUAAUCGUUAGAACAACUUCAAUGCAUAGUGUGAAAUUGAAGAUGUAAGUGGACCCUUUACAUGUACGCAAUAUCUUUUGGUGCAUUCUACUUUUUAAUAUUGCCUUCCUCUAAUUAUUCUCUUAUGAUUCUUCAUUUCUCAAAGUGUGUCAAUUUUCCUUCUGAAUUCGAAUUUAAGCUUUGUUUCGACGGGAAAUAGCAAGAUAAGGUACUAUUCUUGAUGAAUUUGCUAUUGUGGGAAAACAGAGAAACAGAAAGGCAUGGUAGAGAACGGGAGCUAAUAUUAAAUUUUGCUUAUAAGAACUUGAAAACACCACAUAUUGUUAGAAAUAAUAGCGUCAGUUACAUCCAGAAAGACACAAUAUGAAACUUGACCGAAGAUACAUAGUGUACUUUUGUUCUGAAGUCUGAAAUUCGCGAAAUAUCCACAUGUUUCAACGUGUGAUAAACUGUAUAUGCGAUUUUGAUAACAUCCCGGAAGCUGUUCUGAAUUCCUUACCCUGCAAAUUAGUUUACUGGCAUCUAAACUGACUGAUCUGCCAAACCUGGUAAAGAAGAUUACAAAAAUAACCAGGAGACUUGUAAGUUGCUUUUUCAAUUCAUAAUUUCAUAUCACAAAAGUAUGGCCAUGUUUUAUUUUUCACUUCCAAUUGUCUGUAUUUAAAAUGUGAUGUGCACAGUUAACAUCGAAUGUUGAUGGAUAGCGGGGGAAGCAAUUGCGUUGGUCCAAUAUGUCCAAGCAACAAGGAGAUACAUAGGAAAUUGAUCGGUGAAACUUUGGUUGCACAAAAGAAACUGUAAAUGGUAUCAUGAUAUUACCUCAUCGACUAAACCACUUUCAACCAGAACCAGAAAUCAAUCUGAGUUUUUAGAGAUAACCUGCAAUUUCAGAACCUCUGAAAUCAGAUUCAUAGCCAUCUAUAGUAUAGUACAAGGAAAUCAAGGCACCACAGGUAGAGGAUAAAGAAAAAUGUGAGAGUACAUAGUUGAUAAGUAAGACUGAUGAACAUGCAUAUUAUAAGCUUACCUCUAGUAUUAAUGCUUUGGCAUGCUCUUCCCACUCAGUAGCCCACCUCCCAGAUGAAGCCAUUUCCAAUGCACCGUUCCUGAGAACCUUCAAGGAACCACAUGCCUCUGGAAAACCCUUGAACAGCAUCUGUACAGGUUAUAAGAGAGAUAUUAUCACGAAGAUGGUGCACUAAACAGUAAUCCAAAGUUUUGAGUCGUUGAAGUUAAGCAAAUUACGUUAAUAUUGCAGUGGUUAGUCUACCAUGCAUAUUAGUUUCAUCUAUUAACCACCAUGACAUCCACUAGGAGACACCAAAAUAUAUAUGAUUUGCAUUCUUUUUUACUGCAUUUCAUGCAUUUCAAGUUACAUGAAUUGCAUAUGAGGUUUGUUACGCAAGUAUUAAUUGUUACAAUCAUUUUAAGUAGCAGUUGAAACAUCCCGACAGAGAAACAAGCAAGCUGGCCAACUUACCAAAAGUUCAUCCGCUAGUUCUGAAGACGAUGAAAACAGAAGGCCGUUUUUCUCAACUUGCACUAGUUCCUUGAUGCUUUGAAAAAAGAUUACCAUAACCAAGGACAUCAGAUUUUAAUGUACAGCAUCCCCAAAAGUCCAUAUAGAAUGUCAUAAUAAGUAAGAUUCCUAUCGCAUAAAGAAAGUAAUUAAUAAAAAAAUGAGUUUACCAUGAGUAGGAAACAGCACAAACUGGCAGUCCACAGCCAAACAUGUCCACGACCUACUGCCAAAAAAUGUACAAUAACGCAAAGUGAAAAGCAGUUAGAGAAAAUUCAUAUUGUUGUAGAUCUAUUCUAGUGCAGUAUUCAGUUUACCCCUUACCUUCAUGGGAAGAUCCAACCCUGAUGAGGACGUAUGCAAGCAUACACCAAGAUCCGCUGAUCCUGCAAAUGUAAAUAAAUAUAUAACACUGAAUACUUUUGGAAGAGCAUAUAAUGUGCAAGGAACAAUGGGGACAAAGCACAAGCAAUUGAAAAUAAAAGACCUACCAAGAAGCAAUGGAUAGUCCUCAGCAGACAACCACAUAGUACGAAAUGCCACGCGUUUGAGGUGUAAUCUGCUAAUUUUUUCUUCAUAUUUUUGCUUUUCGGGCCCUUUACCUACACGAAUUAAAUCAGUAUGCAAGUGCGUAAGAUGACCCCUCUCUCUCUCUCUCUCUCUCAUAACAGAUAUGCAAGGCUAAAAGGAACCUGACAUCCUAGAACAAAGAAAUAGUUAUACUCACCAGUAAUGACAAAUAACAGCCUAGGGUAUAAGUAUUGCUUCCCACUAUGAAUAUCCUUCCAAAGAACCUCUUCUUUAGUAGAAUCUUCUUCAUUUAAAAUAGCAGCAACACGCCUGUCAUACAUGACAGCUGCUUCCAAGAGAAUUUCAAAAUCUUCGUCAGGAGUCCUGUAAAGAACCAUUCAAAAAGACAAAUAAAAAUUGAAAAAUCAAAUGUUUUAAACAUGGGGUUUGUCUUUCACGUUACAUCAAAGUAUUCCACUGAAUAUUAGCUCACCAGCUUGUACUGCUAACUAUGAGUGCUGGCCUGUGUGGCUUCAAAGUAACGUCAGUACCAACCAGAGAGGUAAAUAGAGUAUCGUUUAUGUCUGUAUUCACUUCCCCUGAUCCUGUUAGAUAAAUGUUAACAUAUUCAAAGAACAUUACUAAUCGAUGAAGGGCAGUCAAGAAGCAAAUUAUAAAUUUAAAGAAACUGAUUAUUAUUACCAGUGCUAGUGCAAUCAUGAACACCAAGUGGCUGCCUUAGAUUUUUAUCUAAUCUGCAGAACAACUGCAGAUAACUCACAUGUUAUACCAAAUUCUCCAAACCAAAAAAAAAGAGUCAAAACAAGCUCAGAAUUAGGCAUUCAAACACCUUAUGCUUUUCUUCAAGUGAAGCAGGUCGGAAAAACUCAGGAGGCUGAUCAUAUAAAACUGUGGCUCUAUCAAUUUGGAAGACAACAGAAGACAAGUAAAUAUAUAUCACUUGAUAAUGAAGUUUUGUGAAGUAGCAAUAAAUUGUGAAAUAUUGAGCUGACCGUCUUACUUAAUUCCCCAAUUUUGAGCCAAUUCAUGUUGCAUUGCCCUCGUUACACAUAGGGAACCAUCUGCCAUCUUCCCGAAAUACCUCUCAAACCUAAUCAGGAAAGAGAAACUCAAUCUACUGCACCACCAAAAAUAUGGCCUCAAAGAAAAGUCUAAAAAAAUUCAAUAGCUACCAACGGUAUAUUGCCACAAAUCUACUACUUCUUCCAAGAGACAAUGCCAGUAAAGUAUAUCCAAAAUUAUGCCAGUCAACAAUAAAGGCAGAUUUCCUAAGCCAGCUUGCCCAUUUUACAGCCAUUAAGGUUGGAACAGAGGGUGGAUUCUGCACAAGCAAAAUGAAUCAUAGGGUUUAGAGAAAGAACGUUCACAUUCAAUUCACUUACUCUAAAAUCUAAAUACAAAAUUCAGGAACCAACUGAAAUUUGUAGCCUAAAAUUUGCAAAUGGUUGGCACUUGGCAGCUAAUUAAUCAAAUUUGAAAACUUGUCAAAGAGAAACAAUUAAACAUUGUCUAGUUUAUAAAAAGCUUCUGCAACUUCCCAACUGGACCAGUACAAGCUCACCUGAACUAGAUAAACAUCGGGAGCAGGUAUCUUAAUGCAAAGAAACCAAAGAAGCAUUAUAAACUGAGUCACUGCCUUGAUCAAAAGCACGAAGGGUCUAAGUAUGUUGGGCAGGCCACGCGUAAAUGUCUGCCACUGCUGCUGCCAACCAGAAUCACAAUAACUUUAAUCUUGUGGACGACCAAAAAAUUCGAUAGUAAGAUACUGCGGUAAAAAGAAAAUUGCACUUCAACAAUAACUACCAUUUUGUGUAUGUGAAUGGACUGAUGUUCAAGUAGAGCGGAAUGGGGUUCGGAACCUGUCCAAACAUUCCAACUCAAAUCCAAAUCAGCACUAUGAGGUAACAUUUAGAUUCAAAUUUGCUCAACAAUGCACAUAAUUCUACAAUCAAAGCAAAAGAUGUACCUCCAUAUGCAACAAUAUCUACCUCCAGAGAAGCCUGAGACGCACAUUCAAUAGAAAAAAUCACAAAAAGGUCCAAAUUUCUCAUGAAAAAGAGCAAUUCCGACUUCAAAACACAUUUCAAAAGCACAAAAUGGAAAAUUAAGAAUUGGGUUGUUGCUAAAUCAGCUGUAGAAGUUCAGGCGGGGGCGCUUACCUGUCGGGCAAGCGAAAGAGCGUGAUACUGCAUACGGGGGCUCCGCCCAAUAUCGCCCAGCACCACCACGCACGCCCGCCCUCUCUUCCCUCCUGCAAUCAGAAAUCCCAAACUCCUCAGAAAUCUGCAAAGAAACGAGCUUUCGAGAAAAAAGAAAGAACGAAAAAGCUUGCCUUUGCCGGCCAUGGUUCUCUGUUCCGCUUGGAUUCUGAUCUCCGACGGAGAGAGUGGUGCCAACUGCCAAAGGUGCAGACUUGCAGUUGAAGUCAUGAGGAAGACGAAGGGAGAGAGAGCGAGAGUCGUGGGAUGUCAAGGCGGGCCGGUUAACUGGGCUUGGGCGACCCAAUUAGACCCAAUUUCGCACGAGAAAUAAUAAAAUGGGCCUACCCUUACCGGGUUUUCUUUCUUUUGGAUUUGAACCAUAAGAAUUCACACUCAUCCGAGAUGCUUACUGACUCGGCGUCACCACCCAUCCUCUCAAGCCGCGAGCUUUCGCCAUUGUUAGGGUUCCGAAUUUGCUUGCUUUGAUCAGGACAGUGGAGGUUCCAAGGUGUUUUCUUCACAUUCAUUACAUAUUUUCAUCUGGGUUUCAAUAGUCUUGGUGUUUUGUGAUUGGAUUGUGUGCUUUUUUGUUGAAUUGAAAAGCUAUAUGCUGUUAAUUGUGGUGCAAAAUUGUUCAGUUGGGAAUUGGAGUUUUCUCUGCUGCUAUAUAAUGUUUAGAAGUUUAUUGGAUUAUGUUGGUGAAGAAAUGGAUGCGUUAUUUGUGUAAAAACUUAGCUUAGCUUAAUUUCAUGACUUUGGGUCGGAAGGAAGUUGAGGUACCAUUGAUUGGCAGUUUGGGAAGUAUCCAAGUUUUGUAAGCACCUGCAAGGUUUGGUAAACUUCCGACGGCGGGCAUUUGUUCACAUCCUCACAUGGUCCGUCUAGAAUCUAGAUGAAUACUCUAUUCUCUUUGACUUGUUCAAUUUGAUGCUAUAGAAAUUCAUUGGUUCCAUUGACUUUUUCUGGGUCAAUCUGAUUUGUGCAUUUUUUGUGUACUCUUCAUUUCUUGUGUGUUUUGUGAUGAAAUCAGGUGAACACAAAUAUCACUGACUCCCAGCGCUGAACGGUAUGGUAACUUGAGGAGAGCCCGUUCCCAGUGAUUGCAUCGGGUUCUCUGGUUUUUGAAAAUUUUCGAAGUACAUUUCCAGACUUUACACUGAUCUGUGGUGCCUUCUCCUCUGUGAUAAAAUCGGAAAGCAGACUGAAUUGUUUAUCCAAAAAAAGUUGAGGAAAAUUAACAGAACCAACCAUGCAAACCGCUUCAUAUCUUCAUCCGUUCUCUUAUUUUGCUGACAGGUAUCUAAUUUUAUGAAUGUUCUCAUCUCAUUGUUUUUGUUUCUGUGUUCAUUUUUUUUUUUAAGUUUCAAUUAAAGUCUUGAAACAUAUUUCAGAAGAAGCCUUUUGAAACCAGAUGGGUGGAGUAAAUCACAAACCUCAUAUUCAAGUGAUCUUGUCAGGAGAGUUCUGAUUACUAGAAGACCUCAGACAUGUAAGUUUCUCUUGCCUAAGCAACAAACCAGAUUGUUUGCAAUUCCCAACAUAGAUGAUGGCCACCCUUCUGCCUCUGUGUUAGAAGAUUCAAAUACAAAUCAUGCACCCAAUUCAGAAGCGAAGACGGUGUUGCACAAAUGGUCACCUCCCACGUAUAUGUGGAGGGGGUUUUCAGCUCUUAUCCUGGCAGGACAGGUUAUUUUGAGAACUUUGAAGGGCAAAGUGCACUGGGGAAAUACACUUCAGCAAUUAAAGAGAGUUGGGCCAGGUUCAGUCGGGGUCUGUCUCUUGACUUCAACAUUUGUUGGCAUGGCCUUUACGAUCCAAUUCGUUAGGGAAUUUACUAGAUUAGGGUUAAGCAGAGCCGUUGGUGGGGUUUUAGCACUGGCUUUCUCAAGGGAGUUGAGUCCUGUAAUUACAUCAAUCGUGGUUGCUGGGCGUAUUGGAAGCUCAUUUGCUGCAGAGUUGGGAACAAUGCAGGUUUCUGAGCAAACCGACACUCUGAGAGUUCUUGGGGCUGACCCGGUUGAUUAUCUUGUGACUCCAAGGGUGAUUGCUACAUGUAUUGCUCUUCCGUUUCUGACUCUAAUGUGUUUCUCAGUAGGGAUGGCAUCCAGCGCCCUCCUUUCCGAUGGCAUUUAUGGUGUUAGCAUCAACAUUAUAUUGGAUUCAGCUUGCAGAGCUCUCAAACCAUGGGAUAUAAUUAGUGCAAUGAUCAAGUCACAGGUUUUUGGUGCGAUCAUAUCGAUUGUGAGUUGUGCUUGGGGAGUGACCACUAUGGGAGGAGCCAAGGGUGUUGGAGAGUCAACAACUUCGGCUGUGGUUAUAUCUCUUGUUGGGAUCUUUAUCGCAGAUUUUGUACUCUCGUGUUGUUUCUUCCAGGGAGUUGGAGAUUCAUUGAAGAGGCUCUAAGUGGUUGUUGAUAAGCUAAAGGAGAGGCUGAAGCAGGAAAUAAAUCAAAGUAUGUAUUCUUGGCUGCGUGACAUUUUCGCACAAUGGCAGGUCAGCUUGUAGUACUCCUUGAUGGUUGUUGAGGCAUUAUACAGAGGAAUAUAUAUUGUUUUUCUCCCCCCAUCAUUCGUUAAUGCCGAAUGCAGUGAGGAGAGCAGUUUUUGGAGUAAUUUUGCAUUAAGAAUCACAAAAGACGACCUGAAGUAUCUCAUUGCAAAGUAAGCGGGCUCGGCGUUGAGAGUCUUGAUGUAGGGUUUUGUACAUCUCCUUUCACUGUUAAUCGUUGUGAAUUUUCUCUUAAAAUAGCAAAACAACGUUGUUAAACGAGGCUAUUGGAGAUGCUCUUAGCUUUCCGCCAUUGAAAUUUCCAAUUUCGACACAAGUUAUAUCAUGAAAAUUUCGUUUUGUGACAUUUACUGCCUAGCUAAACUAACUUUUGCACAAAAACACCACAUUUCAGGGAGACUUAACGAUUUCCCGUGACUUGCAUGUGACAACUAUUAUUUUGUGUUACUUUACCACCUUAAUGUUUUUUUCGUGCCAGAUUGCUACCUGAAUUUGUUUUUGCAUCAAAACUACAUGAUAAAUCGUAUCUAAGAUUGUUUUGGUCAAAACUAAAAGAAUCAACAAUGAGGGUUUCGAAAAUUAUUCCCCAAAACUUGAAUGCCGUUUAGAGGUAAAACGACACAAAAACGGGUUCAGGUGGUAAAGUCACACAAUAUAGUGGUCGCGUGACUAUUUUUAACGAAAAUUUCUACAAUCUGGACAUUAUGUGGUAUAUCAGAAUCAUUUAACUGCAGCAAAGGAGAUUGUCGUAAUAGUUAUAUGACGAUCGAUAUUUCUGUUUAAUGGAAAAAAUAUACAGUGAAGGGCAGCAGCAGUAGCCAUGGAAAUAUUAUCUCACCGUCCAGCAUCAUUACAGAAAACGCAGAAAUAAUAAGGAAUCCAAGAACAAAGGCAGGCUGUGGAACCGAUCACAUCAACUCUCAGCUUGUAAAGGUUUAUCCACCGCCAUUCAUUUGAAUGUUUCUAUAACCUUGGCUGAUGGCGAGGGCGAGGAGCGUCCCAGUCAGUCACAAUGUGAUCGCGGGUGAUCUCUUUGAGCGAACGGCAUCCACUUAAUGCCAUGGUUAGCUCAAACUCUUCGCGCAGCAUUUGGAGUACCUUUCUAAUGCCAGCCUCUCCUUCAGCAGCGAGAGAGAACACCACAGGGCGCCCAAUCUGCGAGAGAAGCAAGUCUCAGUAUGUUUUGAUAGACAGUAUAAUCUUUUCGCGGAGGGGGUGGGUGAGUAAUAUAUGGAUGGAAUAAGUGCUUCUACAUGGAAAAAUCAUGAUCAAAACUUGACUUACAAAUAUGCCAGAGGCACCCAAAGCUAAUGCUUUGAAGACAUCUGUUCCUCGACGGACACCACCAUCCAAGAAAACAGGAAUGCGUCCUUGUGCACCUUUAACAACCUAGUUGUCAAGACAGCGCCGCCAUGUCAAAACAUUACGAAAACUAGGAUGGUAUAGGUGCAUGUUUACUUAACAUUUAGGAGAUGCACUACAAACAGCUAAAAUCAAGUUUCUGUACCUCUUCGAGGGCCAUGAUAGUCGAAGGGACGUAAUCAAGUUGGCGAGCUCCAUGGUUGGACACAAUAAUCCCAGCUGCUCCAGCUUGUACUGCAAUCCUUGCUGCAUGAUAUGAGCGUAGAAGAGUUAUACAAGCAUUACAAACCUAUCAUAACGACGGAGAGAAAAGGAGCUCAAAUACAUACCAUCUUCGGCAGUGAGAACACCCUUAACUAGGAUAGGCAGUGAAGUGAUUGUCUGAAGCCACUGCACAUCCUGUUGAAAUAUCGGGGCAGAUCAUUAGAUGCAUAUCAACUUUUUAUUCAAAAAUAAGGCAUACAUGCUGAGAAAACAUCGCUUCCUCACAAACAUCCAGCUGGAUAUGCCCAGCCAAAACACCUUCAUUAUUUUAAAUUUGCAUACUUUUCAUCAAAAGAUGGAAGAACCUACAUUUGUACUUUUCAAUUCGUUCUAUUGAAUGAUCUAGAAAUAUUACACUUUUGUUGAUAUUCCAUCCUUUUAUUUUGUUGGACUCUUUUUAAACUUAAAUGAUGAAGGCUAAAUAACUUGUGACACCAAGUUGUAAAUUUUCCACAUUAUGAGCCUUGCUUAGAAGUUCAUGUAUCUCGACAUUCGGUGUUAUCUGACAUACCUUCCAGCUAAGAGAACGAUCGAUUUGACCAGCAACGUAUGAAGCAAGUCCAGAGUCAGCAGCCUGAAGGAGCCCCACACCGCAAAUUAAACAUAAAAGACAUUAUUCUGAAAAUUAGGACAGCACAGUUUAUACUCACUUUGUCCAUCUUUCCGAGGUCCAAACCCUCAAAGUUCUUCAGUGUCAAAAACGGAGGCAAGGUAAAUCUGCAAGGUACCAAAUAAGAGGUAUUAACAAGAUUAAACUCUUCCACAUGUUAAGCUUGCAUCAAAUGCCGAACUGAAUUAGUCUUAUUGAACCGAUGAAAGUAAAAACACUCACACGCACACGCACAUGCACAUAUACAAAUCUUCACCAAAUUUAUUUAUUUAUCUUACUAGGUUGAUAUGAAUGUUUUGACCAGCUGAUAUUGCUAUAACAGUUAUGGACAUGAAGUUGACCUGUUCUUGAUGUCAGCUUCUCUGCGACCGAGCCUUGGGGUAUCAACUGUAAGAGCAAUAGCCUUGAACCCAGCCCUUUCAGCUCUUCUCACCAGCUGAGCAACCACAUUCCUGUCCUUGUAGACCUUAUAAUAAUGACCAGCAAAACAUGGAUCGCAUAAGGCAAGGAAACAUUUACUCAAAAGUCAUAACUCAAGACCAGGGACAAUUGGGUGUCGUAACUAACGAAUAGAAAUGAAAUUAGUAUUUAAGCUUACAUAGAGCUGGAAGAAACGGAUUCCAGGUCCAGUUGAAGCAACCUCUUCAACACUUGAAGUAGCCCAUGAA